UCUACGGGAGGCUGCAGUGGGGAAUAUUGGACAAUGGGCGAAAGCCUGAUCCAGCCAUGCCGCGUGUGUGAAGAAGGCCUUCGGGUUGUAAAGCACUUUCAGUGGGGAAGAAAGCCUUGGGGCUAAUACCCUCGAGGAAGGACAUCACCCACAGAAGAAGCACCGGCUAACUCCGUGCCAGCAGCCGCGGUAAUACGGAGGGUGUGAGCGUUAAUCGGAAUUACUGGGCGUAAAGCGCGCGUAGGCGGUCUGAUAAGCCGGUUGUGAAAGCCCCGGGCUCAACCUGGGAACGGCAUCCGGAACUGUCAGGCUAGAGUGCAGGAGAGGAAGGUAGAAUUCCCGGUGUAGCGGUGAAAUGCGUAGAGAUCGGGAGGAAUACCAGUGGCGAAGGCGGCCUUCUGGACUGACACUGACGCUGAGGUGCGAAAGCGUGGGUAGCAAACAGGAUUAGAUACCCUAGUAGUC
rnacentral:rRNA from 1 species